UACGUAGGCAGCAAGCGUUGUUCGGAAUUACUGGGCGUAAAGGGCUCGUAGGCGGCGCGGCAAGUUGGGAGUGAAAUCUCUGGGCUUAACUCAGAGGCUGCUUUCAAAACUGCCGCGCUCGAGUGCGAGAGAGGUCAGUGGAAUUGCAGGUGUAGCGGUGAAAUGCGUAGAUAUCUGCAGGAACACCCGUGGCGAAGGCGGCUGACUGGAUCGCAACUGACACUGAGGAACGAAAGCUAGGGGAGCAAACAGG
rnacentral:rRNA from 1 species